AUACGGAGGAUGCGAGCGUUAUCCGGAUUUAUUGGGUUUAAAGGGAGCGUAGGCGGGAGCUUAAGUCAGCGGUUAAAUGGUGCGGCUCAACCGUGCCCUGCCGUUGAAACUGGGUUUCUUGAGAGUGCAAGAGGCGGAUGGAAUUCAUGGUGUAGCGGUGAAAUGCUUAGAUAUCAUGAAGAACUCCGAUUGCGAAGGCAGUCCGCUGGGGCACGUCUGACGCUGAUGCUCGAAGGUGCGGGAAUCAAACGGGAUUAGAUACCCUGGUAGUCCGCACGGUAAACGAUGAUUACCCGCUGUCGGCGGCAGACAGUCGGCGGCCAAGCGAAAGCGAUAAGCGCCCCACCUGGGGAGUACGGUCGCAAGGCUGAAACUCAAAUGAAUUGGCGGGG
rnacentral:rRNA from 1 species